UACGUAGGAGACGAGCGUUGUUCGGAAUUACUGGGCGUAAAGAGUGUGUAGGCGGUGCUCUAAGUUCGGUGUGAAAUCUCCCGGCUCAACUGGGAGGGUGCGCCGAAAACUGGAGUGCUGGAGCGCGGGAGAGGAAAGCGGAAUUCCUGGUGUAGCGGUGAAAUGCGUAGAUAUCAGGAGGAACACCGGCGGUGUAGACGGCUUUCUGGACCGUA
rnacentral:rRNA from 1 species